rnacentral:rRNA from 1 species
AUGCACUUUCUUCCCCGUCUUUCUGUCUUCUUCCUCCUCUCUUAUUCUUCCUCCUCUCUUAUUCUUCCUCCUCUCUUAUUCUUCCUCAUCUCUUCUUCUUCCUCCUCUCUUCUUCUUCCUCCUCUCUUCCCCAUCAUCGGCCGCACACCAUUUCCCCCCGCUCACUACUCGCCCGCCCGCACCAUCUUCCUUGUAGACGCAAAUGCGCUGGCCUUCAUGAUUCCAGGACCUAGAAUCAUACCAGCCGAUGGAAUUAACCGAUGCAAGUCGAAGAAGGAUUGGCCGGUGCUGCCGGCUGGCGUCAAGUUCGAUCCCACAGAUCAGGAGCUGAUCGAGCACCUUGAGGCCAAAGUGAGUGCUGACAGCGCGAGAUCUCACCCUCUCAUCGAUUUGUUCAUACCAACCAUCGACAGCGAGCACGGCAUAUGCUACACCCAUCCUGAGAAACUUCCAGGUAUCAUAGUAAGUGGCCUAAGCAAGCAUUUCUUCCAGCGCAAUUCCAGGGCGUUCGAAAGGGGCAUGUGGACGCGUCGCAAGAUACAAUCGGAGUGCGGCAUGCAUGCGAUGUGGCACAAGAUCGGCAAUACCUUGCCGGUGAUGGUCAACGGUAGGCAGACGGGCAGCAAAAAGGUUCUGGUGCUGCACACCAACAAGAACUUCGACCAGCAGAGGACCAACUGGGUGAUGCACCAGUACCACCUCGGGGACCUGGAGCAAGAGAAGGAGCGGGAGCUGGUCCUCUGCAAGAUUUUCUACCAGACAAACACUAGGGCUAGGAGUCGAGCAAGUUUCAACUGGGCUGUAGACUGCCCAGGCUUGGUUUUGUUUUUAACAAGCCCAGACCAUGACGACAACGGGGCACAAAGAUCCAGCAGUUUCCUUGUCGACGCGAAGGGGCCAGCAGCCCCCAAACCAAAGUCUGAGAUCAGAACUCAUACCGCGGUUGUGGCUUGA